GACCAACAUGAGAAGAUCAAGAGACUGUGAGGCUAGGAUGCUUAACAACAGAGUCAUUCAGGAUUGGAAGGCAUGGGGUCUUGCAUCCUGGCCAAUUCUGGGCGAGACUGCUGCUGAGUAUAUUGCAUUGCCUUCCUACUUGAUGUUUAAUUUCAUCAAUGUCAAAUGAUGUUUUUGGUGUGGCAUCAAAUGAAUGGCUGUGUGACAGGAUAUGAACACCAUGCAAGAUAAAACAUGGGUUCUGCUUUUAGUUUCUGGUAUUGAAACAAUGAAUUCUUCCCCGAUGAAAGAUUCAGUGGCGCACAGCUCGUGUUGUUCAAGCCAUUUAUGAGGAUUUGAGGCCAAGCCUGUUUUACAGACACGGGUUUUUAGGCAAAAUCCAUGUCAGUGAUCAAGACUGCAGUCAUUGCUUUCAAGCUUUCACAAUUAACUGGGCUGUAACCAUUACUGAAAAUGAAGAGUAGAGUGACCAAUUCAGCAGGACAAGGGGGAGAGUGCUGGAGAGAGCAAAUAAGGAGAGACAAAAGGGAAGCUUCUAUUCUGGCACGUUUUCUUGGAUUCCCAUGGAAAGUAUUUCUAUGCUAUUUCAGGAUACUCAGAUCUCUGGAUCAUAAAUUGCUCAGACACAGUAACAAUUUAAAAUGAAACCUGAGUCUUUGCCUUUUCCAUGCUUUCUCCUCCUGUACACAUUUCUGUUUAUUUUUUUUUGGUUUAUUUCAGUUUUAUAAUUAUGUGGCAUCAUUUAUGCCCCUCUAAUGCCAGUUAACUUUCUCUAGAAAGGUAACUCUUGU